rnacentral:misc_RNA from 1 species
CGCAAUACACCACGGAAUUAACUUCAGGUAAUCGGAUGGUAUGGCGAGCUUUCGCCGUCCACGUUUCUCUUUCUUCAUGAAGACANAANAAANCCGCGCUUGUUCAGUUGAUGCUGGAACCGGUUGCCCGAAUGGGCCCGUAGCUCAGUUGGUUAGAGCACACGCAUGAUAAGGUCGUGG